AUGCCUACGGGGGGCAGCAGUGGGGAAUAUUGCACAAUGGGGGAAACCCUGAUGCAGCGACGCCGCGUGAGUGAAGAAGUAUUUCGGUAUGUAAAGCUCUAUCAGCAGGGAAGAAAAUGACGGUACCUGACUAAGAAGCCCCGGCUAACUACGUGCCAGCAGCCGCGGUAAUACGUAGGGGGCAAGCGUUAUCCGGAUUUACUGGGUGUAAAGGGAGCGUAGACGGAGGAGCAAGUCUGAUGUGAAAAUCCGGGGCCCAACCCCGGAACUGCUCUGGAAACUGUGCGG
rnacentral:rRNA from 1 species